UUCGACUGAAAACGUAGGCGAUGGAAUAACAGGGUGGAUACAUCGAAUUGGAUUCUUCAGUUCACUGUUCAAAAAAAAAAACACGUAUCAGUUCUAUGAUUUUUACAUUCAGUACGAUUCGGCAUCAUGUAAUACAAAUAUUUUCUACCACAUUGAAUAGGAAGGAACAUUGGUAAAUAAACGAACCAUUAAUA